UUGCCCUCCGUGGUGCGAUCUCUGGCUGACCUGUUCCAGUCCUCCGUUUGUGGUGCUGACUCCUUCCUGGCUUUUGAACUGAACCUGGCUGACUGUGCUCCUCUCCUGACACAAUUCCUCUACCUGGCGGGUUCUACGAUUUCUCCAUGACGGAGAUUAGGCUCGCCGCUUCCGUUUUGUGCCUGACCGAGUUUCCAAUAAACUUCUUAAACUGAUCUUGUUCUCUGAGUGUCUCUGCAUGUGGGUUAAGUCAGCUGUUAAAAUCAUGACAUUUUCUCUAAUCAAACAAUCGUGGUGGAAUGCGUUUCCGUUGGCAUGUGCUUCAAAUGUUGUGGCUCUUCCCUUAUUACUGAUGUGCAGAGGCUGCCAUUUCUUGGGGUCACAUGUGCAGUUACGUGGGUCACAUGCAUAUGCAAGAGAAUUGUUGUAAUAUGUGUACGUUUUGUUGUCCUUACCAACCAUUUGGAUGCCUUCUCCUCUCGUCAGGUUCUGACGGGGAACAAUAAAAUAUGUAUGCUUCGCAUACCCCCAGAGUCCUAUUGAAAAGGCACAUGCUGCUUCUGUGAAAUUCAUUUUUCUCACACACACUGUAGGGCCCUGGGAAUGAACUGGCAUGAUAGAACAUACAUAAGUCUGUUUUAUUUUGUGCUUUAGCUGUUUCAUACACAUAACAAUACCAAUAGUUCUGCAGAAAUAAAUGUCCUCCUCCUUUCUUUAGGGGUCUGAGAUGAGAGCCGUCCGGUGUCCAUCUCUUCUCGUGUGAUGUCGUAUCCUGUGGAUCCUGCCUUAAACAGAGAGAGUCUUGCUACCAGAAUUAGGCUCAGGCUUAUCAGUCCUGUCCACAUGUUACAAAAAGCCAUGUUAAGUUGGGCACAGGUCAGUUGUUUUCUACACCGGUUUGAGAUGCUGAGCCUUAUGGGUCACCAGCCCCUUUGUAGCCGGUCUUCCUCUGUUACCCCGUCGGUUGGUUUGGCUCCUGUAACGGUGAUAUUAGCUUACAGUGGCUCUUGUGGAUCCAGGAUGGUCUCUCUGGGAUUUUUAGAGCUGUCUGUGUGGUCAGGAGAACUUGGUAUGGCCCUUUCCAGCAGGGGUGCUCUAGUCCUUUCUGUGGAGUGUCUUAAUCAGGACCAGGUCUCCAGGGUUAGGGUUACUAACAGUCUAUUCUCCAACAGUCUUUGAAGAACUAGACAGAUGUGACGGGUGUGCUCUUUAAUGUCCUUGGAGUAGAUCAAGAUAUCAUCAAGGUAGACAAAAACAUUCAAAAAAAUCCCUAAGAACAUCGUUGAUUAGGGACUGAAAGACUGCUGGUGUGUUACUUAGUCCAAAAGGCAUGACAAGGUAUUCAAAAUUGCCUAACAGAGUCUUAAAGGCGGUCUUCCACUCAUCACUCUGGCGGAUCCUAAGUAGAUGGUAGGCGUUAUGGAGAUCUAACUUGGAAAAGAUAGUGGAACCGUGAAGAGGUUCAAAGGCCAAGGAAAGGAGAGGGAGAGGGUAUUUGUUUUUUACUGUAAUUUGGUUUAACCCCCUGUAGUCGAUACAAGGGCGGAGUGAACCAUCUUUCUUUUCCACAAAGAAAAAUCCAGCUCCGAGUGGAGAUGAAGAAGGGCGAAUUAACCCAGUCACCAGAGACUCAUUGAUAUAGUCCUCCAUAACCUUUCUUUCUGGUGAUAGAGCCUACUGGAAGGCAAGCGGGCACCAGGAAGCAAAUCUAUUGCACAGUCAUAGGGUCUAUGCGGGGGCAAUGACAAGGCCUUGGAUUUACUUAAAACUAACCUGAGAUCAUGGUACUCUGGAGGGACGUCAGAGAGAUCGAAAAUCUCAUUUUCUGCGGGACCUGACUCAGAGGGGAGUGAUGCUACUGCUGACUGUAGACAAGAAGAAAGACAGUUAGUGGACCAGGAUUCUACUUGGCUUUCUGCCCAGUUAAUGUGAGGGUUAUGUUUUUUGAGCCAAGGAAAACCUAAAACAAUAGAAUUUAAUGAGAUGGGAAACACAAAAAAAGAUAUCUACUCCCUAUGAUUCCCGGAAAGAAUUAGCGUCAAAGGUUUGGUUCUAUG